rnacentral:rRNA from 1 species
UACGUAGGGGGCAAGCGUUGUCCGGAAUCAUUGGGCGUAAAGCGCGUGUAGGCGGCCCGAUAAGUCCGCUGUGAAAGUCCAGGGCUCAACCCUGGGAUGCCGGUGGAUACUGUCGGGCUCGAGUCCGGAAGAGGAGUGUGGAAUUCCUGGUGUAGCGGUGGAAUGCGCAGAUAUCAGGAAGAACACCAACGGCGAAGGCAGCUCGCUGGGACGGAACUGACGCUAAGGCGCGAAAGCGUGGGGAGCGAACAGG